GGCAGAGACAAAGUUCCCUGAGAGCUCCCAUCAGCUCCUGCUCCCGCCUUCCUCCACAUUCCUGCGCUGAACUUGGCGAAGUCCAGCGGCUGUCGUACCUUCCCUGGGCUCCUCCGCUUCGGAGAGCAUGCUGUCGGGGUGCACAGCCACAGGCGCCACCGCCACGGACAUGGACGUGAGGCUGCGAGGCUCCUAGACGACAUCCGGCUUUGCCUUCCCUCUUCCGCUGGCCAGAUGUCCACAGAUGUCCACCUGAGCCUCGGAGGAACCUCGCCACAGCUGUUUGCUACACAAAUGAGAUGCCUUUAGCGAAUCUAUAGCUGGAUCGAAGAAGCAGCACCUUCUGAAGCCUGAGAGAGACCCCCUCGCCCUGGCUGGCUGACCGUAGCUGCAUGCAAUCUGAGACGCUUAUGCAACUUCCCAGCGCUGAUGGGCUGCGCACAUCUGUGAUUGAUUACUGUGAAGCGUUCAAAAGCCAGAGGCUCUGCCUGGGACACCCAGUGAUCACCUCCUCUCUCUACCUUGUGUUCACUUCGAGGGGCCACAGAACUACGCCGAGACAGGCUGAGUAAGGAGUCUCGGCUGACUGCAUUCAGCAGAGAAGAUUUUGGACAAGAACAGAACCUACGAGGUUUUGACCAUGUGCCAGGUGGUCACAGUUUAAGAGACAGAAGAGGCUCGUGGAGAAACUCCAGGAGGGAUGGGCUUUCCAGGCGCGGUGGCCAAGCCGACACUGGACAGACAAACUCAGCAGGCGGUAAAAUGUGAACUGAUGCAGAACUUAUCCAAACAGGGUUCAGGGCAAGAGCAGAGGUUCCUUUUCUGCUGUGGCUCAGGAGGUUUUCCACUUGAAUAGGUCAGGUUCUGAAACUGGUUUAUUUGGCCAGUCCCUAAAGAGGAGCUAUAGACAUAUGUGUCAGUUACCCCUCAGAGUAUGGGGUGCAUGUUUUGACAAGCCCCCUCACCUGAGUCGUGUACAGACUACAGAAUGUGAUAUCAAACCCAUGAACUUUGUAGGAAAAAAAAAAGGUAAAAAAAAAUCAUUAACUUUCUCAAUUUGAACUCUAUUUCCACUGAUUUUUUUUUUUUAACUACUAAAUUCAGCAAAGUCCCCUUGCAUGGCACUUAAUUUUUUUUUCAAUUUCAGCUAUAUGUGAUCAGAUACAAAAAAUAAUGACAUAGUCCCUGGAGCGCUGUUCACCCUAAUUUUAUCUUGGAAAACAUGACGAUGCAGAGCUGGGACUUUGUCCCUCUCCUGACCGCUUUCUGCACCUCUGCCUGGCCUUUGACCCUGGUAGCCCUUAUACAGGAGAUGUGAGUGCUACAUCAAAGAUUGUGUAGUUUUUGAAAAACUGAUAGAUGUGUAUGAUCAAUGGCUCAAUAGUAAAAGGUGCUUGCCACCAAGCCCUGGAGCUGUCAUGGUGGAAGGAGAAAACUGACUCUCCCUCAAACUGUCCCCUGACCUUCCUGUGUACACACCCUCACACAUGCACGCACGCCCAGAAAUAAGUGUGAAAUAGAGAAAGAAUGACCAUAAAAACAUUGAGAGAGGAUAACUGAACAUCCCCAAGUAGCAUCCUGUGAUGUUUUAGUGCACUGUAUGCUGAUCUACGAAAGACACUUGGAGUCUCUCAUCCUUGUCAACAUUUUCAUUUCUCUGUAUUAAAAACAAACAAAAUAAUAAUAAAA